rnacentral:rRNA from 1 species
CAGUCGCCGCGGUAAUACAGAGGGUGCGAGCGUUAAUCGGAUUUACUGGGCGUAAAGCGUGCGUAGGCGGCUUUUUAAGUCGGAUGUGAAAUCCCUGAGCUUAACUUAGGAAUUGCAUUCGAUACUGGGAAGCUAGAGUAUGGGAGAGGAUGGUAGAAUUCCAGGUGUAGCGGUGAAAUGCGUAGAGAUCUGGAGGAAUACCGAUGGCGAAGGCAGCCAUCUGGCCUAAUACUGACGCUAAGGUACGAAAGCAUGGGGAGCAAACAGGAUUAGAUACCCCGGUAGUCCAUGUCUCUUAUAC